AGACGAGUGUAAAAACUUCUGGAAGAUCUGUGUUGAAUACCACUCGUUUUUCCGCUUGUUUGAUCAGCCUCAGCCCAAAUCCAAAGCAAUCCUUUUUUACUCGAGGCUCCUCCUUCAGAUACAGUGGACGGACGCAGAAGCAGCUUGUUGAAUAUGUCAGAGAAAAUGGAGCAAAGAGGACGCCUUACCAGAGGAGGAACAGUAAAGUCAGAAUGUCUGCUCGCUCCUUCACAACCGAUCUGCCAAAACAGAGUUUGAUAUUCAGUGACUGUCCCCGAGACCUGAGCUUCUCGUCCUCCAUCGCUGAAUCCUUCCAGCCAGUCCACAUGUCAAAGAUUCUUCCUCGAACUGAACUUCCACCUCAGCCCCAACCUUUGUCCCCACUGAGCCAGUCUCCAGCACCUCCUCAGCAGCAACAGCAGCCCCCUCUGCAAACCACUAGACCCCCCAGCCCUCCGAAGGAAGAUCCCGUUAAGGCCGCUUCCACGU